GCACAAGCGGUGGAGCAUGUGUUUAAUUCGACGCUACGCGAAGACCUUACCUGGGCUUGAACUGCUGGUGGUAGAAGCCCGAAAGGGUAACGACCCGGAGCAAUCCGGGAGCCAGUAGAGGUGCUGCAUGGCUGUCGUCAGCUCGUGUCGUGAGAUGUUGGGUUAAGUCCCGCAACGAGCGCAACCCUUACCCUUAGUUGCCAGCGGGUAAUGCCGGGCACUCUAAGGGGACCGCCCGGAUAACGGGGAGGAAGGCGGGGAUGACGUCAAGUCAGCAUGGCCUUUAUGUCCAGGGCUACACACGUGCUACAAUGGGCGAUACAGAGGGAAGCAAGGCCGCAAGGUAGAGCUAAUCCCUAAAGUCGUCCUCAGUUCGGAUUGCAGGCUGCAACUCGCCUGCAUGAAGUCGGAAUCGCUAGUAAUCGCGGAUCAGCUACGCCGCGGUGAAUACGUUCUCGGGCCUU
rnacentral:rRNA from 1 species